rnacentral:rRNA from 1 species
AGAGCGAACGCUGGCGGCAGGCCUAACACAUGCAAGUCGAGCGCCCCGCAAGGGGAGCGGCAGACGGGAGAGUAACACGUGGGAACGUACCCUUUGGUUCGGAACAACACAGGGAAACUUGUGCUAAUACCGGAUAAGCCCUUACGGGGAAAGAUUUAUUGCCAAAGGAUCGGCCCGCGUCUGAUUAGCUUGUUGGUGAGGUAACGGCUCACCAAGGCUACGAUCAGUAGCUGGUCUGAGAGGAUGAUCAGCCUCACUGGGACUGAGACACGGCCCAGACUCCUACGGGAGGCAGCAGUGGGGAAUAUUGGACAAUGGGCGCAAGCCUGAUCCAGCCAUGCCGCGUGGAUGAUGAAGGCCCUAGGGUUGUAAAACUCUUUUAGAUGUGACGAUGAUGACGGUAACAUCAGAAAAGCUCCGGCUAACUUCGUGCCAGCAGCCGC